rnacentral:rRNA from 1 species
AUGAACGCUGGCGGCGUGCCUAAUACAUGCAAGUCGAGCGAACAGACGAGGAGCUUGCUCCUCUGACGUUAGCGGCGGACGGGUGAGUAACACGUGGAUAACCUACCUAUAAGACUGGGAUAACUUCGGGAAACCGGAGCUAAUACCGGAUAAUAUAUUGAACCGCAUGGUUCAAUAGUGAAAGACGGUUUUGCUGUCACUUAUAGAUGGAUCCGCGCCGCAUUAGCUAGUUGGUAAGGUAACGGCUUACCAAGGCGACGAUGCGUAGCCGACCUGAGAGGGUGAUCGGCCACACUGGAACUGAGACACGGUCCAGGCUCCUACGGGAGGCAGCAGUAGGGAAUCUUCCGCAAUGGGCGAAAGCCUGACGGAGCAACGCCGCGUGAGUGAUGAAGGUCUUCGGAUCUUAAAACUCUGUUAUUAGGGAAGAACAAAUGUGUAAGUAACUAUGCACGUCUUGACGGUACCUAAUCAGAAAGCCACGGCUAACUACGUG